rnacentral:rRNA from 1 species
UACAGAGGGGGCAAGCGUUGUUCGGAAUUACUGGGCGUAAAGGGCGCGUAGGCGGCCGCCUAAGUCAGACGUGAAAUCCCUCGGCUCAACCGGGGAACUGCGUCUGAUACUGGGUGGCUUGAAUCCGGGAGAGGGAUGCGGAAUUCCAGGUGUAGCGGUGAAAUGCGUAGAUAUCUGGAGGAACACCGGUGGCGAAGGCGGCGUCCUGGACCGGCAUUGACGCUGAGGCGCGAAAGCGUGGGGAGCGAACAGG